GAAGAACGUUUGCACUGAUCCAACUAGUGUACGUUUGAGUUUCAAAGCGAAUCACGAUGAUUAAGCUGUUCCUUAUUACGUUGCUCUGCGUGGCGAUGUUCGCCGAUUCCCAAGAAGACCAAAUGAAUGAAAUGGGAACAGGACUAAGAGAAGCAAGCGCUGAUAUGGCUGGACAUGCUAUGAAGAGUCAAGGUAGUCCUUUAUUAAUGCAACAUGCAGCAAAUAGAGGAGGACAAGGAGGAGGACAAGGAGGAAGAGGACAAGGAAGAGGACGAGGAGGAAGAGGAAAUGGAAGAGGAAGACAAAAUGGAGGAGGAAAUGAAGGAGGAAAUGGAGGAGGAGAUAAAUGACAGAAUUGAGAGCGGAAGCCGGAGAUGGGAAGGGAAAGGAGGAGAAAUUAGAAUAAUUAAGGAUCUCUUCUGGAUACACGUAUGGUUAUGAAAUACAGAUAAAAGUUCAGCUAGAUCGGCUGAAGGUUAAUUUUCUCUCAGCACUAUAGGUAUCACGUAUUUUAAAUCAUUCGCACGGCUAAAAAAAUCCUGAUAAUUAUAGAAUAAUAAAGCUUGUCACUGCAGUAAA